UCAGAGAGUGCAUUCGGAGCAGAGGAG
rnacentral:sRNA from 1 species